UUGUGUGGGCAGAAGGGACCUCAAGUUUCACACCUGGCAGUAUUUCCAAAUCAGAUCAGGCUAACCCUCACUUCUGCUGCUUACUGGCUAAGAAGGUUCAUGGCAAACAUCGAGAAGUGGAGAAACAAUGUAAGUUUCAACUCAGGCCAAGCUUAAAGCCAGAAGUCCAGAUGAGUGGCAUAGUCCCACGAACAAAAAUGAUGAAGUAAAAGCAGGUGUAAUAUUCAAAUGCCAAACCAUUUUUGCCUGUGUGAUGGGAGAGUGAUAGUACUUUGUCUGUUUGGAGAAGACAGGAAAGGACCAUCAUGCUGCAGAGGAGGAAGAGGUAAAUCUGUAUAAUCUUCACAUUAAUCCCUCAGGUUUUGGGGGAGAACUGCUAAUUUUGUGGUCCUGGACAAACCACAUGGCCUACACAACCAGGCUAUCUCAGAUAUUGGCUGUACCUUAUUCAUGCUUAUAUAUGGCAAUAUACAGUAGCAUGCCAGAGAAAAGAGACUGUAUUCUGACAAAAAGCUUCAAUUUUAAUGUAUACAUGAACUGAUUUCCAUUAAUACAUCAAGAAUUGGAGACCCUUUCUCUAUCAGAAGCUUGUAUUGCUAUCUGGUAUGAAAUGACUACCACCACUGCACCACCAGUAGAGUGAAGAUACAAGGUUCCUAAAAGAAGUAUCCAAUAUAAAAUUGUUCAACAUUGGCCUUAGCGUUUAAAGGGGAAAGAUCAUCCUCCUCCCAAACACAUUAAAACAAUAAUGCAUAGUGACAAUAAUGAAAUUAUUUCACUUAGAACAAAUGGCAGGCAUUAUCUCCCCUGCUGCAAGUGCCCUUCAGGGUGCAAAGUGCUAGACCACAAAUUCUAUUGCAGUUAAAGUGUGCUGACACUUUGAGACAGGAGGCCGUAUAUAUUACACUGUCAGAGCUAUAAUUUUCAUCACUAUGUAACUUCCAGAUACAACAGAAAGAGUUUCUGGAGUGAGAGUCCCAUUGCAGAGCGCCUGAAUCCGACCCUGGAUUUGCAGAAGAUGCAUGCGCUCCUGAUUAGGCCCAGGCAGAUUUACUUCAUGAGUAACAUGCAGCCUUUCUGAACCUUUGGAGUGAAACCACCACCUAUCCAGAUGAAAACAGUGACUCUGGUGAAGGAGGCCCUCACCUUUCUGAUAAAGCUGUUUGCAGACAGCUCCAAAGAGUGGCUCUGGGAGAGAAAGCUGAAGAUUUGAACAACAUUCCAAGACAGCCCAGCAUGACACAGAGUGAGACUUGUUGGGGGCCUUGGCCAUCUCUGAUCAGUUGCAGUCUGAAGAUACAAAAUGAGAGAAGCUGUCCACAGCUGGAUCUAGAUGCUCUCUAACUAUCUUCUGCCACAGACAGCCUUUAGGGGUCUCCACAGCAGGACACCAAACAGAGGACUCCAGACCUUUCCCUGACACAGUUAUUAGCUGAAGUGUGUUGAGGCAUGCGGAAACAGAAAACACCUUCCCUGAACUGGAGCUGGUGCUGCCUCUCAGGCUGUCAGUAAUGUUGGUCCUGCCAAGGCACUUGCCUAUUUCCAUCCUUUAUAUUUCCCCUUUUGUCAACUAUACUAAAGAUCUUUCCUCUGCAUUGCUACACAUCAGUGUUUGCAGCUAUCUGCUUUGCUCCUCUGCCAGGAUUUUAUUACUCAGCAGCAGGAACGGCAGAUGCAGACAAGAACCUGCAUCUCUGCUACUCCAGUGUACAAUCUGACACAUUGCACCAUUGGUGCAACAAGGGAGCACAGCAGUGUGGUCUUAUCAGGCAGCUGAGGCACAGAUACACAUGAAUGAAAGGCAGGGUAGGUAGGGACAGCAAUAUCUUAAAUCAUGCCAGAACACUUCAGUGAAAAAUAUCUGUUAAAUAACUAAAUUGAUCAUCUGCUAUCCAUAUGCAUUCAUAUUUACUCAAAGUAAAUAAGGUACACAAAAUUGUAAUUCAAACAUUACAUCAGAAAGUCCUUAACUUAUCCACCUUCCUAAAUUACUUUUAUAAAAGCAUUUGUUAGGGUUCUUUUUUACAUUACAAACAUUAUUUUUCAGUUUUCAUUAACGAAAGUUAGUUGCAUAUGAUGUCAUGCUGACUGUUCACCAUUCAUUUGUUCAUUAGGUUACUUUUACACAACUAGCUAAAGAAAUACUAAGGAAGACUAAAAAUGGGUUUCUCAGUCUUCAACUGGACACAUAUUUCUCUCUGAGAAGCAGAAAGCAUACAUCAGUAAACAAUCCUCUAUUAUGGCAAUAAUGAAUGACAUAAAAGACAGUCUAAAAUGAAGCCAAACUAUAAUAAUUCAAGAACAUACCAGCUCCAGGGGUUAUACAGAAAUCCAGAUAAUUUGGAGCAGGGAACCUGUGUUUCCACAGGAGGUAUACAAAAAGUUGUGGUGGAGAGAAGGAAGCCACUUCAUUUGUGGGACAUCAAUAGCAGCUGGUUUGCUCUUGGGCUCAGUCACUGCUGUAAGUCUCCUUUCCACCUACACAAGCAAGAAGAUUAAGAAAGACACUGGCCCGCAUUCUGGUGAGGAGAGGCUACUUGUUUCAGGAACCACCCCUUGGUCAGGACUGAAUUAUUCAGAAAGAAUAGCUUCAGAAAACAUUUCAUCUACAUUUUGGACUGCAUAAUAAAAGUGUGACACCCAGAAAAGAUGGAUAGAAACUACUGUCUGUCUAGUUAAAUAGUUGGUUCUAGCUGUCUUUCCUCUGUAUCAUUGUACUAUGACAUGGAUCAAGAUCAGAAAAGUUAGAUUUUUUUUCUCAUUUCACAAUUGUAAUUUUGUCAAAAUUAUAUUUUUCAGGGUUUUAACUACUAAUUGAACAUGCAUGCACAGUCAUAAAAACAUUCCAGAGGAAAGAAUAAAAGUCUCAUUUUUACUAUUUUUUACAAUUUUACCAUUGCUCUUUUACUAUUUCCUAGUUCUACAUAAAUUCAGUAACUUUUUCCAUAAUCAGAUCACCCAAUUGGAAGAUGUAGUGUUUCUAUUAAUUGCAGAAAAAUAAAGAACACUGUGAAUGUUUUCAGGCUUCUAGAAGCCCUGAAAUGACCAUAAAAUGCUCAGACUCAAACAGUACAUUGACACAAUGCUUCUAAUGAUUUUAUAUAAUAUUAUUUUUCCUUUUUUUUUUACUGUGAGCUUCAUAACUUUUCCAAAGAUGCCUGGAAAAUGAAGGAGGCUAAGAAAACUACCUUACCUCUGUGAAGAUGCUGUCUGAACCAGCACAUAGAAUCAUAAUAGGUUCUAUACUUGAAAAUUUGCAUUCAUUGCCAUGACACCAAAUCUAAUUUUGUGAUCAGUUUGGAUAAGGACCUCUCUGCCACUGACUGACCUUCCAUCAGCUGUCCACUGCUAAAGCAAACACAAGUCAGUGUUACUCAAUUCUCAAAAGUGUAAGAUAACAGUAGAUGGAAGCUAAACAAUCUACCCACUCUCCUUUGUGAUAUCAUAUCUGAACAAAGUGAUAUAUUUUGAAAAGACUCCUCAGGACCAUUUAUUUAGUGACUU